rnacentral:lncRNA from 1 species
UCGAACCUUCUCUUUUUCUUUGUUCGAACCUUGCUAGUUGUCUUUUUUUAUGAACUUGAAGAUUUAGAUGAUCAGGAUAAUGUCAUGAUCGAAAAACAAACAAUCCAGUGUGAAAGUAGCAGCAUGAUCAUGUCGGUAGAGCAUGAUGCUGAGUUAAUGCAAGUCGACGUCUGGUUCUACUUCUUAUAUUGCUGCAACUUUUUUUCCUUUCAAGCACGAUAAUUACCAUGGCAUGCUUAGGUUCCUCAAGGCAAAGGUUUAACCAUGAAAUAUAACGCAAUUGCAAAUGGUCCAAUA